rfam:Synechococcus phage ACG-2014f isolate Syn7803TS44, complete genome.
UCUUAUUACAACACUUCCAUCUAACCGAGACCUACGGGGAAGUAAAAUACGUCUCUAAUACCUACACCGGAGGGUGGUGUAGGAAUAAUACUAUCG